GUAGGGAAUAUUGCACAAUGGAGGAAACUCUGAUGCAGCCAUGCCGCGUGUGUGAAGAAGGCCUUCGGGUUGUAAAGCACUUUCGGAGGGGAGGAAAAGAUGACGUUACCCUCAGAAGAAGCACCGGCUAACUCCGUGCCAGCAGCCGCGGUAAUACGGAGGGUGCAAGCGUUAAUCGGAAUAACUGGGCGUAAAGGGCAUGCAGGCGGUUAUACAAGUAGGAUGUGAAAGCCUGGGGCUCAACCUCAGAACUGCAUUCUAAACUGUGUGACUAGAGUAUUGCAGGGGGAGACGGAAUUUCAGGUGUAGCGGUGGAAUGCGUAGAUAUCUGAAAGAACACCAAAGGCGAAGGCAGUCUCCUGGGCAAAUACUGACGCUCAUAUGCGAAAGCGUGGGUAGCAAACAGGAUUAGAAACCCUAGUAGUCC
rnacentral:rRNA from 1 species